rnacentral:rRNA from 1 species
AAUCAACGCUGGCGGCGUGCCUCAGACAUGCAAGUCGAACGAUUAAGACUUCCUUCGGGAAGUGCAUAAAGUGGCGCACGGGUGAGUAACACGUAAGUAAUCUACCUUUGAGUGGGGAAUAACCCGGGGAAACCCGAGCUAAUACCGCAUAAUGCAGCGGCAUCGCGAGAUGACAGUUGUUAAAGGAGCAAUCCGCUUAAAGAGGAGCUUGCGGCAGAUUAGCUAGUUGGUAAGGUAAUGGCUUACCAAGGCUACGAUCUGUAUCCGGUCUAAGAGGACGGUCGGACACACUGACACUGAAUAACGGGUCAGACUCCUACGGGAGGCAGCAGUCGGGAAUUUUGGGCAAUGGGCGAAAGCCUGACCCAGCAACGCCGCGUGAAGGAUGAAGUAUUUCGGUAUGUAAACUUCGAAAGAAUAGGAAGAAUAAAUGACGGUACUAUUUAUAAGCUCCGGCUAACUACGUGCCAGCCGCCGCAGUAAUAC